GCCUGCAGCCAUUUCACUCUGGUGGCAUCUGAGCUUGCCAGAUCUUGGAAGCUACAGAGUCAGGCAUGGUUACUAUUUGGAUGAGAGUUCUCUUGGGAGCACUGGGUUGAUAUUAGGCU
rnacentral:rRNA from 7 species